rnacentral:rRNA from 1 species
UACGGGGGGGGCAAGCGUUGUUCGGAAUUACUGGGCGUAAAGGGCUCGUAGGCGGCCAACUAAGUCAUACGUGAAAUCCCUCGGCUUAACCGGGGAACUGCGUCUGAUACUGGAUGGCUUGAGUUCGGGAGAGGGAUGCGGAAUUCCAGGUGUAGCGGUGAAAUGCGUAGAUAUCUGGAGGAACACCGGUGGCGAAGGCGGCGUCCUGGACCGAUACUGACGCUGAGGAGCGAAAGCCAGGGGAGCAAACGGG